GACGUAGGGACCGAGCGUUGUCCGGAAUCAUUGGGCGUAAAGAGCGUGUAGGCGGCUUGCUAAGUCUUGCGUGAAAUCUCGGGGCUCAACCCCGAGCGGUCGUGGGAAACUGGCAGGCUAGAGUGCGGGAGAGGAGAAUGGAAUUCCAGGUGUAGCGGUGAAAUGCGUAGAUAUCUGGAGGAACACCGGUGGCGAAGGCGGCAUCCUGGACCGGUAUUGACACUGAGGCGCGAAAGCCAGGGGAGCAAAACGGG
rnacentral:rRNA from 1 species